UAGGGAAUCUUCGGCAAUGGACGAAAGUCUGACCGAGCAACGCCGCGUGAGUGAAGAAGGUUUUCGGAUCGUAAAACUCUGUUGGUAGAGAAGAACGUUGGUGAGAGUGGAAAGCUCAUCAAGUGACGGUAACUACCCGGAAAGGGACGGCUAACUACGUGCCAGCAGCCGCGGUAAUACGUAGGUCCCGAGCGUUGUCCGGAUUUAUUGGGCGUAAAGCGAGCGCAGGUGGUUUAUUAAGUCUGGUGUAAAAGGCAGUGGCUCAACCAUUGUAUGCAUUGGAAACUGGUAGACUUGAGUGCAGGAGAGGAGAGUGGAAUUCCAUGUGUAGCGGUGAAAUGCGUAGAUAUAUGGAGGAACACCGGUGGCGAAAGCGGCUCUCUGGCCUGUAACUGACACUGAGGCUCGAAAGCGUGGGGAGCAAACAGGAUUAGAUACCCUGGUAGUCCACGCCGUAAACGAUGAGUGCUAGAUGUAGGGAGCUAUAAGUUCUCUGUAUCGCAGCUAACGCAAUAAGCACUCCGCCUGGGGAGUACGACCGCAAGGUUGAAAC
rnacentral:rRNA from 1 species